rnacentral:rRNA from 1 species
GAUGAACGCUGGCGGCGUGCCUAAUACAUGCAAGUCGAGCGAACAGACGAGGAGCUUGCUCCUCUGACGUUAGCGGCGGACGGGUGAGUAACACGUGGAUAACCUACCUAUAAGACUGGGAUAACUUCGGGAAACCGGAGCUAAUACCGGAUAAUAUAUUGAACCGCAUGGUUCAAUAGUGAAAGACGGUUUUGCUGUCACUUAUAGAUGGAUCCGCGCCGCAUUAGCUAGUUGGUAAGGUAACGGCUUACCAAGGCAACGAUGCGUAGCCGACCUGAGAGGGUGAUCGGCCACACUGGAACUGAGACACGGUCCAGACUCCUACGGGAGGCAGCAGUAGGGAAUCUUCCGCAAUGGGCGAAAGCUUGACGGAGCAACGCCGCGUGAGUGAUGAAGGUCUUCGGAUCGUAAAACUCUGUUAUUAGGGAAGAACAAAUGUGUAAGUAACUAUGCACGUCUUGACGGUACCUAAUCAGAAAGCCUCGGCUAACUACGUG